CUCUCUUUCUCUCUCUCACCCACACACCCCCACAUAGUUUCUUAUUUUCAGCUUCCUCUUUCGAGGGCUCUAUUGUCUUUCUAUUCUGGAAUUGGAUUCCCUUUGAAUUUGCUUUCCCUGGAAAAUCCAUUUUGCAAGAUCUGAUACACCUGUUAGCUUGUUUAUAUACUGCAUGCAUGGGGUAUGUUUUCUGUUUCUUCUUCCCGGAUUUGGAUUUAUAGGGAGAUUUUGCUUGUGGGUUUUUAUUUUUAUGGGGGGAUUGUAUUUGUUUGAUUGUGAAUUUGAGUCUGCUGUACUUGCUUUGUUCAUGGGGUUUAAAUGAUCGAGCUAAUUUACUAUAUUUGGUUGCCCACGGAACUUGGAAUUUUGUUUUUCAAAAUAAGAAGAGAGAUUAUGCUCACCAGUUAUGGACUCUGUAUGGUUAUCUAAAGAAUUGUUGAAAAAAAAGUAGGAAUUGGGUUCUGUAGUUUUGUGUUUCCUGCAUUUUAGUUUCUAUGGUAUUGACUAAAUUAAGCUCACUAAUAGGAUCUAUUAAUUUCUGCAGAAGCGACGAGGUUAAGUUUUCUAUUGGUAUGGGUUGGAAAAUUAAAAACCAGUUGAAGUUUAAAAGAUUAUGUAGUUUAAUAUCAUAUUUUGUUUUGCGAGAAUUGAAGUUUGCUUUUGUUGGGUGGCAUCAAAAGAGGUCCUAAUAUUUUUGAAGAUGAUGGGUUCAGAUGAUAGAAAGCUCUUGCUAUUUUACUGGAAGUAAUCUUGUCUAGUUGUCUUGUUUUUAGACAUCUGUUUCAUUAGUUGUUGGUGCAUUCUUGAAAUUAAUGAAACUAGAUUUGUGAAAGUGGUCAUAUUACAUUUGCAUGUUUUUGUUUGCUUGAAUCUAUUCAUUCAUGUUUGGUUCGAUGUGAGGCUGCAGGCACAUGUCAGUUUUGACAUUUUGCAUGAGGCUCACAGAAAAACCACAAGAAAUGAUUCAUCUGUUGGUGGAAGUUGAUUCUACAUAAUCUCAUCAUGCAAAAGUUAGUAUUUAUUCUGCAUGAUUGUCCUCUAUGCAGGGCUUCAGUGUUCCAAAUCAAAUGUAGUGCUUGACUAAAGAUACCUUUGCAUCAAUCUAGUCAUUCUCAAAACCAUAAAGCCUUUUAUUACUAUGACACAUGGUGAUUACAGCCAAAAGCACAUCUUGGUUUGUACAUGAGUAUAAUCCAGCUGAGGCAUUGCCAAGUAAUUGACUUGUAGCAGCAUGAGCUAUAGCUUGCUUGGGCAAUACAUGGUUUCUCUGAGUGAGAAAAUUCAAUGAAUUUGCUGCUUCUCCUGUAGCCAGACAAUUUUCUCUUAAAUAAGUGCCUCAAAUGUUAUACUCUGUUGUGAAUUUCAAACGUUUGUCAAUCAAACUCUUACCAUGCAUAUUAUUUAGAUAAAUUAUUUAAGUGGAGUACGACAUUAGGUUUCGACCAAGCCAAUUAAAGUGCAACAUAUCAGCUUUAGUGGGGCACAUGGUUGAUUAGGUGAUGAUGCCCAAACUAUGAAGUUGAUAUGUUGUGUUUUAGUUUACUUUGUCUGUACUGAGUCAUAUGCAUACGUCUGUACUGGGUGGGCAUUGAAUUGUCAUGCUAAAAUGGCUCGGUAAUCUGAAUAAAAUCCCCACUAUUGAUCGGAGCUUACCUAAAACUCUCUAGCCCUAUUUUCUUAUCUUUCUCAGUUUACAAACUAUAACAGUUGAGGGUACUUAACUAUGUUAUUUUGCCAAUUCAGUGUCAGAGCGUUAUAGAUGCAUCCCUUCGAUUCUACUGCUAUCAGUUGUAAGGUAUGUGACAAAAUCAAUAAAAUUUGAACAAUUGGAUCAAUCUCAAAAUUCAUGAAAAAUUCAGAAUUUAUUGGAUCAUUAUUCCUUGACACUAAUUUGCAUGAGAGCAUGGUUUAAAUUAUCCAGGAACAUAUGUUCUUUCCAGGACAUUGUUUUUUCGCAAAACUCCCUCUCCCUCUCUCGUCUUCCAUAUUUUUUACUUUUGGGGUGCUCCCUUUCCUAAAUUUGUUCAUAUGAUCCUUUUUCUCUUAUCUGUUCAUUUUCCUUUGUCAAAUUUCUUUUAUGAUUCGACAUAACAAUUGCUUUGAUAAACUGAUGUAAAAGGAUCUAUAGUUGCUUGGAUGUAUUGGAUAUCAACAUUCUCAAGCAUGUACAACUAUUUCAAAAUUGUAUCUUUCUUUCUAUUUUUAGAGAUGAAUAUGUAUUUUAUACUUCUGAAUACUCCCAAAUGCACAUUUAAUCACAUUUGAGCUUCAAUGCACCACAAUUUUUAGUACAGUAUAGCCAUAUAAUGUUGAUGAAAGGUAUAAGAAGAGUUUGUGGCAUUUGUUUUGGAACCUGUGGGAUGAAUGUUCCUUCUAUAUUAAUGAUUCAUGGAUUCUAGCUUGUUUAGGGUGUUCUGCUUACCUUUUUUCUUGCCAAUGAAUAAUGAUGUUUUGCAUAAGCCAUCAAUACAGCACGACGGCUUUGCAAGGGUUGGUGAAAAUGUGAUGUUCUUGUGUGUAUUUAGCCAUGUGAAGAUGUGUGUCCUGUUCUAUCCUUAUUAUUGUUUCUUUUAAUUUUUAGUUUGAGGGUUUACCAUGUGAUUUUGUAGUUGUAUCUUAUAUCUGCAUCUGUAUCAUUUGGCCACACCUAUAUUUCGUAAUGGUUGUUAUUCUUCAGCUAUAUGAUUGUAUGUGAUUUGCAACAGAGCAGUAGUUGUCUUGGAUGCUACAAGAAACCCACACUAAUUACUUCAGUAGAUGAGCCCUCAAAAGGAUCAAAAAUUCAAGGUCAGACAGUGAAAAAACCUAGCAUAUCAGAGGAUUUCUGGACCACCAGCACUUGUGAUAUGGACAAAAGUGCAGUUCAGUCACAGGGAAGCAUGUCAUCAAUCAGCACAAUCAACCAGACACAUGAUCUGCAUGGUGGCUCAAGUAGCACUAGUGCACCUGCUGAAUUUGUAAACCAUGGUCUUCUUCUCUGGAAUCAAACAAGGCAGCGUUGGGUAGGAGAUAAAAGGUCUAUGAACCGUGCACAGCAGUCUCAGGAACCAAAAUUAAAGUGAGUUGCUCUCUAUUCUUCUGAAUUGGUCAAAUUAAAAGCGAGUCUAUCAUAUGCAUCAUUAACUUUCUAAUACCUCUGUAUAUGUUUUGCAAGCAAAACUUGUAGUAUAGACGUAGUGUUCACCGAGUUCACAAGCUUGAUUUAUCUCAUGAUGCAAUUUGUUUUGAUAUGUGUCAUCAUUUAUUAAUACAAAAGAUUCUUUUUGUUUAAGAAAUGAGCAAAUCAUAAAUUCGAGAGCAAUUUUCAACAUUGCUAGUUAGUUCGCAUUUUGCAUUGAGUUGGGUUUUCCUUCCUAUCCACAGCAUCUCAAAUAAUUAUCUAUAAAUGACAGAAUUCUGAAGUAUAUGACAUUACUGUUUGGAAUGAUUUUCUUUACAAUCUCUCACUCUUUCUGAAUAUAAAUACUAUUUAUGUUUUAAAAGAAUACUUCGUGACUUCAAAUUUUUGUGAAGAACUAAGUGGAAUAAAUGUGUCCUUGUUGGGUCAAUUCUUCUGACCAUCAUUGAGUUGAGAUAUGAAUAUAAGUAGAAAUUAUCUCAUGCCAUUCCGAUUGUUUCUUGUCUAGUGCUUGUUUAUAGGGUUUUACUAAUAAAAGUUCGGUGCUGUUGUUCCCUUGAAAAUGUCAAGAUUGUUGAAACAUCAAUACAUUAGCCUGUGAAGAUUACCUAUGUCUAGGCUUCCAAGCAUUACAUGUUAAUGUGGUGAAAUAUUCACUGGAACACAUUCGUAGUUGUCUUAAAGAUAAACAUUGAUCAUUCAUGAACUGUUUCUGGUUAUUUUGUCAGCACUCAUUGUCUCUGCAUCGUUAAAAACUUCUGGCUUUGCUGCAGUUGGAAUGCGACAUAUGACAGUUUACUUGGAAGCAACAAACCGUUCCCUCAGCCAAUUCCUCUUUCUGAAAUGGUAGAUUUUCUAGUGGACAUUUGGGAGCAGGAGGGCAUGUAUGAUUAAGCAGUAGGAAGUACAAGACAAUUGAAGGUUAGAAUGAAAAUCCCUGUCAAUUGAUGUCAUAUUAAGAAGCUGAUGAACAAACCGUGGUGUGUGUAUUAACUGUAACAUUAUUUGUCAUAUGCCCACCCGGCUUUUGUUUCUCUACAGGCCAUUUUUAGACAUGACUCUGUAUUGCAUUCAAACCAAUCAAAAACAUUGGCUGCCAAUGCUUUUCCUGGGCAGCAGUUUUUCGCUUAUGCAUUGAAUUAUUAUUAUUAUUAUUA
rnacentral:misc_RNA from 1 species